rnacentral:rRNA from 1 species
GGACCUGACUGCUAUCGGAUUGAUACUAAGCCAUGUGAGUCUUUGUAGCAAUACAAGGCAUACGGCUCAGUAACACGUAGUCAAUCUAACCUAUGGACGGGGAUAACCUCGGGAAACUGAGAAUAAUACCCGAUAGAUCAUUAUGCCUGGAAUGGUUUAUGGUUCAAAUGAUUCGUUCGCCGUAGGAUGGGACUGCGACCUAUCAGUUUGUUGGUGAGGUAAUGGCCCACCAAGACUAUUACAGGUACGGGCUCUGAGAGGAGAAGCCCGGAGAUGGGUACUGAGACACGGACCCAGGCCCUAUGGGGCGCAGCAGGCGAGAAAACUUUGCAAUGUGCGAAAGCACGACAAGGUUAAUCCGAGUAGUUCCUGCUAAAGGAACCUUUUGUUAGUCGUAAAACCACUGAUGAAUAAGGGGUGGGCAAGUUCUGGUGUCAAAGG